CACUGAUUUGGGAUGGUUGUUGUUAGUUCGUGCGAGGAGACAUUGGAUGAUAAAAGGGUCCUUUUGGUGCAUGCCUCAAAUUUUGAUACACUCCCUUUACAGCUCUUGAAUUAGCGCACCUCCUGAAAUUAGUGAUUCAGGCUUAGAUUGCUUUAUUAAAAUUGACUGCCGUCCUAUUAUUUCAACCUUAUAGCCCAUGCCAUAUACAAACUGCCGUGCUAUUUGGCAUUGGUUAAUAUACCAUACCUCUCUCCAUAUCAUUAAAGUUUAGAUCAGACUUCUUGGUUACGGUUAUACAUUCAUAAACCACUUAGUUUAUUUCUUUCUUUCUGAAAUUGAGCCAUUUGUUUGAUGCUUCACCCCAAUAGCUCAUAUGAGUUUCUACAAUUGUUUCUCAUGGUAUUUAGUCUAGCAAUUACCUAAGUUGAGCAUCAUGCUAUUUCAAAGGUCUUCGUUUUUCCGGUGUUUUAGUAUUGUAUUAGAACUAGAGGCUUGGUAAGGUUAUCAUUUUUAGGAAUUGGUACAUAGUCAUUGCUAGAAUUUAGCUUGCUGCUAGACUAUUCUUAGGACAUCCUGUUAUUUAAUGCGGGAAAUGCUCUUCAACGAAGCCAUGUAAAUCUACCGCCAAUGUUAGUAACAUGGAAUUGCUCACUUUAUUUGAGCCAUCUGAUUUUCACAAUCAAGUGAUGUCGUGAGAGUGUGGAAAGAUAGUUCUAGUUCUACCAGUUACAAUUAAGCAUUUGUGAUGCUGCCAGAUACUUCUAGCCAAAGUCAUUCUGUGCAAGCGGACGAUGGUCCUGAUGUAGUGGUCCUUUUGGUUUCCCAAGAUGUGGUAGGGACACCGCAAACACUUAUGUUUUCAUGUUUUCGUAUUGUUUCUAGCGCCCGUUAAUUCGAUUUGAGAUUAAAGCAUAUAUAUAGAGAAUUAUUUUUGUUUUUGCUCUGGUCUUUUGGGCCAUAACAGGAAAAGAGAUAAAAGUACAUAUUUUUGGCCAACAAAUUUAAUCGUAGUAUAUAACCUGCAAAUUUCGCCCCAAGAUUUACACCUAUAAUAUGAAUAGCAAGUAUGCAGUAGUGUGGCCUGCACAUCACUUCACUUCGGUGCAAAAUCCAGAAGGAUUUACAAAUUUUAUUUAUUACUAUUUGAAAAAGGUAAAUUGCAGGAGUAAAAUAACCGACAAAGUAAUUUUGAUUACUUCUACACUAUGGUUUCAUCAGUUUUCUAUUAUAUUUCAGGCAUAAAAUCUUGCUCCUAGAUGCAACAACUGCUUUAUCUCCGCGGAAUAUUGGAGAAACCUAGAAUCAUGCUUUAUUGUUGCCUAUAAUUCUGGUCUUGUGCUUUUAUAGUGUUGUUCUUUCAGAGUCUUUCACUCUGCAAAUUCCUAAGGUGGUUGUCAUUGACAUGUCAAUUAUUCAUUCCUGACUCCUCAUGGACUGCGUGUGGGUUCUUCUUUACACCAAUGGAUACUUCUGAUGGUGGUACAUGAAUUUUCAAGCUCACCUAGGACUCCACCAAAUACCACCUAUUCUUAAAGAUUCUUUACAAAGAUAUAUUGAAUGGUUUCCUGAUGGUGUGAGCAAGACUAUUAUUGGAAACAAGACAUGAAUAGUAGAGUGAAGGGUUAUACAAGAUUGGUGUUCCAUCAAUGGAUGUAGUUGGUCAUCUAUAAUUAAAACUGAAUGCUAUGGUAUCACUUCAGGGUGUUGCUUCUGUAGAGGCUGCGUUUAACUCUCCUUCAGGUAUAUGUAUUUCUACACCCCAUGUCUCCAUUCUUUUUAUCUGCUUAAUGAUGAAUGGUAGGCUAUUCAGAGUUAAAUGUAUAAUAUAGGAAUAAAGAUGUCAUGUGUAUUAUUACUGCUGUAGGGCAACGCUGUGACUGUAAUUUUGUUUUCUAAGUGGAAAUGGGAUGGGGCUGAGGCAUGUUAAUCUGAAAUAAAUAUCAUAUAUAGGAAGAAAGAUGUCAUGUGUAUUAUUACUUCCUUUUAUUACGAACAAAUAAAUAGAUCACCAGUUGUGUAUCGAUUUCAAGAUAUUAUCUUCAAUAC